rnacentral:rRNA from 1 species
GGGGCGGCUACCAUGCAAGUCGAGCGCCCGAGACAGUGGGCAGUCGGCGUCAGACGGAUGAGUAACACGUGGGGAUCUACCCAAUGGUGCGCAGUAACCCAGGUCAAACUUGGACUAAUACCGCAUGUGCCCUUCGGGGGAAAGAUUUAUCGCCAUUGGAUGAACCCGCGUCGGAUUAUCUAGUUGGUGAGGUAAAGGCUCACCAAGGCGACGAUCCGUAGCUGGUCUGACAGGAUGAUCAGCCACACUGGGACUGAUACACGGCCCACACUCCUACCGGAGGCAGCAGUGGGGAAUAUUGGACAAUGGGCGCAAGCCUGAUCCAGCCAUGCCGCGUGAGUGAUGAACGCCUGAGGGUUGUAAAGCUCUUUCACCAGUGAAGAUAAUGACGGUAACCGGAGAAGAAGCCCCGGCUAACUUCGUGCCAGCAGCCGCGGUAAUACGAAGGGGGCUAGCGUUGCUCGGAAUCACUGGGCGUAAAGCGCACGUACGCGGGUUGUUAAGUCAGAGGUGAAAUCCUGGAGCUCAACUCCAGAACUGCCUUUGAUACUGGCGACCUUGAGUUCGAGAGAGGUUGGUGGAACUGCGAGUGUAGAGGUGAAAUUCGUAGAUAUUCGCAAGAACACCAGUGGCGAAGGCGGCCAACUGGCUCGAUACUGACGCUGAGGUGMGAAAGCGUGGGGAGCAAACAGGAUUAGAUACCCUGGUAGUCCACGCCGUAAACGAUGGAUGCUAGCCGUUGGACAGCUUGCUGUUCAGUGGCGCAGCUAACGCAUUAAGCAUCCCGCCUGGGGAGUACGGUCGCAAGAUUAAAACUCAWAGGAAUUGACGGGGGCCCGCACAAGCGGUGGAGCAUGUGGUUUAAUUCGAAGCAACGCGCAGAACCUUACCARCCUUUGACAUGGCAAGGACGAUUUCCAGAGAUGGAUCUCUUCCAGCAAUGGACCUGCACACAGGUGCUGCAUGGCAUGUCGUCAGCUCGUGUCRUGAGAUGUUNGGGUUNAAGUCCCGCAACGAGCNGCAACCCUCNGCCUCUAGUUGCCAUCAUUUANGUUGGGGCACUCUAGANGGGACUGCCGGCUGAUAAGUCCKAGAGGAAAGGUGGNGGAUGAACGUCCAAGUCCUCAUGGCCCUUUCGGGCUGGGCUACACACGUGCUACAAUGGCGGUGACAGUGGGAUGCGAAAGGGUGACCUGGAGCAAAUCUCAAAAAGCCGUCUCAGUUCGGAUUGCACUCUGCAACUCGAGUGCAUGAAGUUGGAAUCGCUAGUAAUCGUGGAUCAGCAUGCCACGGUGAAUACGUUCCCGGGCCUUGUACACACCGCCCGUCACACCAUGGGAGUUGGCUUUACCCGAAGGCGCUGCGCUAACCCGCAAGGGAGGCAGGCG